rnacentral:tRNA from 1 species
ACCCUUUUAGCUCAGUGGUCGAGCACUGGCUUUGAAAGCCACUGGUCGGUGGCUCAAAUCCACCCGGGCGCA